AACCAAACCCUAAUAUAAUCUGCGCCUCUCUCUCUCUCUCUCUAUUUUCGGCGUCUCUCUCCCUCCCCGUCUCCGCUACUCCUCUCCCGUCCCUCUCUCACUGCCGCUCUUCUUCGCCUUCGACGGAAACCGGAGCACCUCCUCCUCCUCCGCCAUCGCCAUCGUCAUCGUGAGUACCGCCGAUCUUUUCACGCCGCCGCCUCCUCCUCCUCUGCCGAUCUUCACAGAUUCGUUUUUUCGUUUCUUUGAGAUUUCACAUCAGUGGGUUUCUAUGGUUUUGGAAGAUUGAAGGUUUGGAGCUAAUAACAAAGUCUAAAAAUCAAUGGGUCUAUUGCUGCUUCUUCUUCUUUUAUCAGUCUUUACUGUUUCUUCUGGUGAAUGCAAUAGAGUGAGUGAAAUGGUGCUAAUUAUUUGAAUAAUGGGUUAUUAAGUUUUUGGAUUAAUGGAGGUGGGUUUGUGAAAAAAAAGAGGGAGGGUGAGAAAUGAGGGCAAUUGGUGGGGAAGAGUUGACUAAGUGGGAGGAGAUGCAAGGAGUGGCGAGUGGUGGUAGUGAGCAGAAGUUUCUUGUAUUGGUUAGAUUGAGGCCUCUGAGUGAGAAGGAGAUUGCGAGGAAUGAAGUCUCAGAUUGGGAAUGCAUCAACGAGACUACCAUUUUGUUCCGGAACAGCCUUCAAGAGCAGUCCAUGUUUCCAACUGCUCAUACAUUUGAUGGCGUAUUUAGUGGUGACCCCUUUGACUAGGCAGGUCUAUGAGCAAGGAGAUUCCUAUAAUCACCAUCAAUGCCUCAUAAUGCACUCAUGAGGUGAUCUCAUGGAGUAAUUAAUGUUUCCUAGUUUGAGAAGAAUUUUCAUGAUACUCUUUGGGUUUUGUAAUGUAACUAGUUGCUCUAAAAGCUUAACCUAUUAGGAAAUAAGCCCAACACAUUUUUAAGCUCUCACACCCUCCCUUUAUUUGUGACCCCUUAUCCAACAUGAAGUUACAAAUUAACACAAGCUAAACUGACACAUUGACAAACAUAUUAUAAGGUACAAACAAAUAUGUGUACAUAAAUGCUCUCCAGUUUUUAUGGUUGCAUAGAGACUAGCAAAAGCUGAGGUUUACUUGUUUUUAGGCACACAAAUGCUCUCCAGUUUUUAUGUGUGUACAUA